GGAAAUAUUGGCUUACAGUAGAAAUACACUCGGUCUUCUUGUAUAGGGUUAUGAUUGCCGAUCUUUUCUGAAUAGAAAAUUUAUUGGCGAUCAUGAUCUAGAGAAGGGAUCUCCGAGAGUUAAUCUGCUGUUUGUUAAUUUUCCUGAAAGGCAUUCUAUGGGAGGCGAACAUUUUCAAUAAUGUUCCUGCCUGUGAUAAACCGAUAUACCAAUUUUGAUGUAUCUGGUGCGGAAAUUAGCAUUCAGUUGGUGUAUUUUCGGUCUUUUUGUAAGGUUAUGUUUGCCGAUUUUUUGGAAUUCAUAAUCUAGAGAAGGGAUCUCCGAAAGUUAACCUAUGCUGUUUGCUAAUUUCCCUGUUCUAAUUAUCAUUUUUUGGAGAAAAAAAACAUCUUUAAUAAUGUGGCGGAAGAAGACAAUAUUUUUUUUUUCUUUUCAAAGAUUAGAAUCAGUGCGCGAAUUAAAAAUUUCAAUUUCAAAUGAUAGACUUUGAAGAGUGGAAGGAAUCCCAUCAUGCAUCGUCAACUUCAAAUUGAG